GAUGAACGCUGGCGGCGUGCCUAAUACAUGCGAGUCGAGCGAACAGACGAGGAGCUUGCUCCUCUGACGUUAGCGGCGGACGGGUGAGUAACACGUGGAUAACCUACCUAUAAGACUGGGAUAACUUCGGGAAACCGGAGCUAAUACCGGAUAAUAUAUUGAACCGCAUGGUUCAAUAGUGAAAGACGGUUUUGCUGUCACUUAUAGAUGGAUCCGCGCCGCAUUAGCUAGUUGGUAAGGUAACGGCUUACCAAGGCGACGAUGCGUAGCCGACCUGAGAGGGUGAUCGGCCACACUGGAAGUGGAACACGGUCCAGACUCCUACGGGAGGCAGCAGUAGGGAAUCUUCCGCAAUGGGCGAAAGCCUGACGGAGCAACGCCGCGUGAGUGAUGAAGGUCUUCGGAUCGUAAAACUCUGUUAUUAGGGAAGAACAAAUGUGUAAGUAACUAUGCACGUCUUGACGGUACCUAAUCAGAAAGCCACGGCUAACUACGUG
rnacentral:rRNA from 1 species